ensembl:lncRNA
AGCAGAAAUUUUCUAACAGCAUGUACUAGCAAAAUCACGAGAUGAUUGGGAGAGUCUCCAUAUUUCAGAGAAAAAGCAGGAAAAUAUUUAUCUGAAAUAGUAGGAGCUGUGGUGAGACAUGCUGGAAGUGUAGCCAGGAAGCGAUGUGGAGAUUGUAGGGGGACAAACAGCAGAGCAGCUAAACAAGAACAACUGUGGUUACCUCACUGCUCUGGCUCUGUGCUGACAGAGGGCACUGGGGAGAGAUCUAUCACUGCUGAUGUUGAGGCUUUGCCGAUAACCUCUGCCCGGGGCUGGGUGAAGCUACAAACGCUGCCCAGUCUUCGGAGGUACAGGACCAGUCUGUCAGGCUGUUGGCACACAACAACAAUUGUUUUAUUGUCAGAGUUAAGUCUACUAGGAAGAUAUCAAGCAGCAGGAGCAGUUUGGCACCAAGCAAAGGAGAGAGGUCUGUUCCUGGCAAUGGCGUGCAGUGUGAUGGAAGGAUGCUUGGUGGCAGUUCCCAUCCAAUGCAAUCAUGGUCAUCUGCAAGGAAUCAGUUUUCAAAGAAGCAUUUGACGGACUGACACCCACUGGAGCCGGGGACAAGAUGAAAUGCUCCGAUUCAAAGCAGAUUAGGACUUGCUGUUCUGGAAAUCAAGUGAGUUUUGAAGAGGCUGAUGAAGCUCAAUUUCAAAACUAUCAAUCUGGUUUUUAAAAUGUGUUGGGAUCCAGACUGGCUAUAGCAAAAUAGAGUUUUACACCAUACAGUGGCCAUCCCUAUUUGACAACGGUGGAAGACUGUGACUGUACAAUAGCUAUUGAUAAUCCUUCUAUAAAGGACUUAUGCCUACUGAGUGACACGGGGCAUUGCUCUCAACACGGGAUAUAUGCUUCCAAGGUACCUGCUCUGCGAGGACCACAGCCAGCUGAGAACUGAAAGCUAUGGGAGAGCAUGGCAUGCUUUGUAGAGAGGGCAACAGUAAGGAGAAAUGCUAAACAUAUUAGACAAAUCAUCUCUUCUUUCAUUGAACAACUCCAGCCAUGACCUCUGAUCCUCUUGGUAAAAGCUGAAUUUAAUUUCUGCUGCCCCCACCCAAUAUUUCUUGUGCAUUUGCUAUAUAGCUUCCUGCAAUCCCAUUUAUUGCUCUCCAGAGCUCACAGAAUGUUUGCUUCCUGCAAACUUCGAUUUAUAUUUUUGCCAUUAACUGUAGAUACUCUUUUGUUUGCACACUUAGAGAACUUUCAGUAUUAAGUUUCAAUGUGUUAACAUGGAAUAAACUGGAAAG